GGCAGCAGCCGCGGGAACACCGGCGGCCCGAGUGUGAUCGUGAUUAUUGGGUCUAAAGGGUCCGUAGCCGGUUUGGUCAGUCCUCCGGGAAAUCUGAUAGCUCAACUAUUAGGCUUUCGGGGGAUACUGCCAGACUUGGAACCGGGAGAGGUAAGAGGUACUACAGGGGUAGGAGUGAAAUCUUGUAAUCCCUGUGGGACCACCUGUGGCGAAGGCGUCUUACCAGAACGGGUUCGACGGUGAGGGACGAAAGCUGGGGGCACGAACCGGAUUAGAUACCCGGGUAGUCCCAGCCGUAAACGAUGCUCGCUAGGUGUCAGGCAUGGCGCGACCGUGUCUGGUGCCGCAGGGAAGCCGUGAAGCGAGCCACCUGGGAAGUACGGCCGCAAGGCUGAAACUUAAAGGAAUUGGCGGGGGAGCACAACAACGGGUGGAAGCCUGCGGUUUAAUUGGACUCAACGCCGGACAACUCACCGGGGGCGACAGCAAUAUGUAGGCCAAGCUGAAGACUUUGCCUGAAUCGCUGAGGGGAGGUGCAUGG
rnacentral:rRNA from 1 species